rnacentral:rRNA from 1 species
AGAGUUUGAUCAUGACUCAGAACGAACGCUGGCGGCACGCCUAAUACAUGCAAGUCGAACGAGAAAGUUGGGCAACCAAUGAGUACAGUGGCGCACGGGUGAGUAACACGUAGGUGACCUGCCCUUUUGGGUGGGAUAACAGAGAGAAGUCUCUGCUAAUACCGCAUAAGCUGGAAGAAAGUGAAAGUAUUCCAGGGAAGGUGGCCAGUUACGAAAGUAGCUGGCGAUCGCUAAAGGAGGGGCCUGCGGACCAUUAGCUAGUUGGUAGGGUAAUGGCCUACCAAGGCGAUGAUGGAUAGCCGGUCUGAGAGGAUGAUCGGCCACACUGGAACUGAGACACGGUCCAGACUCCUACGGGAGGCAGCAGUAGGGAAUCUUGCGCAAUGGGGGAAACCCUGACGCAGCGAUGCCGCGUGAGUGAGGAAGGCCUUCGGGUUGUAAAGCUCUGUUCUGCAGAAAAAACGGAUCUCCGAUAAAUAGUCGGAGGUCGUGAUGGUACUGCAGGAGAAAGCACCGACUAACUUCGUGCCAGCAGCCGCGGUAAUACGAAGGGUGCAAGCGUUGUUCGGAAUUAUUGGGCGUAAAGGGCGAGUAGGCGGAUGGAGAAGUCAGAUGUGAAAUCUCGGGGCCCAACCCCGAAACUGCGUCUGAAACUUUCUAUCUAGAAUCUCGAAGAGGGAAGGGGAAUUUCGCAUGUAGGAGUAAAAUCGGUAGAGAUGCGAAGGAACACCAGAGGCGAAGGCGCCUUCCUGGGAGAGUAUUGACGCUGAGGCGCGAAAGCGUGGGGAGCAAACAGGAUUAGAUACCCUGGUAGUCCACGCCGUAAACGAUGAACACUAGUUAUGGGAGCGGGUACGCUUCCGUGACGACGCUAACGCAGUAAGUGUUCCGCCUGAGGAGUACGGUCGCAAGACUAAAACUCAAAGGAAUUGACGGGGGCCCCCACAAGCGGUGGAUUAUGUGGUUUUAUUCCGA